CUGGGCUCCUGAGUCUGGUGGGGACGUGGAGAGUCUUUAUGUCUAGCUCAGGGAUUGUAAAUACACCAAUCAGCACCCUGUGUUUAGCUCAAGGUUUGUGAGUGCACCAAUCAACACUCUGUAUCUAGCUGCUCUGGUGGGGCCUUGGAGAACCUGUGUGUCGAAACUCUGUAUCUAACUAAUCUGAUGGGGACGUGGAGAACCUUUGUAUCUAGCUCAGGGAUUGUAAACGCACCAAUCAGCG
rnacentral:lncRNA from 1 species